CGUGCAGCAGGGAGAGGAAAGCUCUGAGCUGUCUGGGAGAGAGGAUCGAAAUGCACAGCCCAGAGGAACCGAAGCCUCUGUUUUAACCCAAGAAGCACGGACGUGUGACCUGGCGGUUACAGCCCACUCGGGGGAAUCACAGCGACAGAGAAAGUCCGAUUUCCUAUGGGUACCGCGCCCUACAGGUCUUGAUGAUUUUCAACUUUUGUGCCACUUCCACAAGGUGAUGAGGAUGUCUUCUUUCAUGCAGGAAUCGUCGGGAUAGACCAGGUCUCGCCUCUGUCUCAAGGACACAGACAAACAGCUGAGGACUGAGUCUUUGUUCCCCAAGCAGGCGUGUCUGAGAGACCCGGUGCAGUCUACCAUGGCGUAGGGCCAGUGUUGUGUCGUCUACCACAGCGACCGGCCAGUCCUACCACGACAUCUUAUAGUCACAGCACUUUUCAGAACUGGAGAGGGACAGCAGUGCAGAAGAAGAAAUUUAAAAAUGGGGUCACAAAACAUGACUUGAGCUAAAGCAUUGCCCCUUUGUGAUUUUUAGCUCACAGAUUUGGGGAUGUGGAGAAAAUGAAGCUUCGAUAACGUUAUUUGUGCUAUUUGCCCAGGAAUAAUGUAAAUGGUGUGUUGGAGGCAGACACAGAGACACUCCCAGGCAGUAAGUGUUUGCAUUUUCUAAGGACUGAAGAGAUUUCUGAUCCUCCUUAGGGAGAGUCUGAGGGAGAAAUGGACAUACUCAUAUGCAAGGAGAAGGAAGAUAAGAUGGAAACAAAGCAUCCAUUUGUAGUGGGAAUAAAAAGGGAGAAUCAGUGCUGUGGUCCCCCAGUGCUGGCACUGGCUGCCACAGAGGUACCCAGAGCUGGGUGAAGGUGAGCUCUGGGUCUGAGGGUGAGGGUGGCAUUUACAAGUAGGAGGAAAUGUGUCCUGUGACUCCAGAGUGCUGGAAAGGGAGAGAGAACCACUGGCCAGAGACUAUUUCAGCUUUGCAGGGUGGAAUGUGGACUGUUUAGGACCAGACUGAAGCAAUCCCAAAUGCCAGAAAAACUACAUCAUUAAAACGAAUUACGGAAUUAGGAGAGUCCAAACCAUUUCCGGAACCUCUUGAUUCCCGCCCAGUGCUUUGCCUGUGAGAGAUGCUGCACUCUUGGCUCUGAAUGCAGUGAGCAUGAUUUCCCUGAUCUCUACCCAAAACUUCUGUGAGUGAUCGCCUCAGAAUCCCCCUUUACCACCUGAAUGCAAUGUGAUAGUUACUGAAACCACCUGGAAUCCUUCUUGAUAAAAAGCACAGUACAAAAUGUUCUAUUACAUAUAUAAA